UACGUAGGGGGCAAGCGUUGUCCGGAAUCAUUGGGCGUAAAGAGCGUGUAGGCGGCCCGAUAAGUCCGCUGUGAAAGUCCAGGGCUCAACCCUGGAAUGCCGGUGGAUACUGUCGGGCUCGAAUCCGGAAGAGGUGAGUGGAAUUCCUGGUGUAGCGGUGGAAUGCGCAGAUAUCAGGAGGAACACCAAUAGCGAAGGCAGCUCGCUGGGACGGUAUUGACGCUAAGGCGCGAAAGCGUGGGGAGCAAACAGG
rnacentral:rRNA from 1 species